GACCGGCCAUGGCAAUCUAGAGCAGUGUAGAGCAGCGUGGGAUACUGGGAUUUCUUAUAUUUACUCCAAGAGACCAAGGACAGGAUUCAAGAAGAUAAGAUUUCAGGUGGCUCCUGAUGUUUGCUGAUGCACGUUUGUGGAUGGACUGCUAGAGCUGGAGUUGUAGCUUCUGUCCUGUUGGAUCAAGAAUUGAGAACAAUCUAGUUAAGAGUUCAGACAAGACUUGGGGUUGUUGGAGCGUGUAUCAUAAUCUUGUAAUCAUUUGACAUAUCCGUGGACCGUGGUGUAUUAAGACCAUAUUUGCUAAUGAAAUUUAUGCUUGCUUUUAUAA